CGUGGUGGCCAUAGCGUGGGGGAAACACCCGGACCCGUUCCGAACCCGGUCGUUAAGCCCCACAGCGCCGAUGGUACUGCCCCCAUGGUGUGGGGUGGGAGAGUAGGACACCGCCACGA
rnacentral:rRNA from 1 species